rnacentral:rRNA from 1 species
UCGCCUACGGGGGGCAGCAGUGGGGGAUAUUGGACAAUGGGGGAAACCCUGAUCCAGCGACGCCGCGUGAGUGAAGAAGUAUUUCGGUAUGUAAAGCUCUGUCAGCAGGGAAGAAAGAAAUGACGGUACCUGACCAAGAAGCCCCGGCUAACUACGUGCCAGCAGCCGCGGUAAUACGUAGGGGGCAAGCGUUAUCCGGAAUUACUGGGUGUAAAGGGAGCGUAGACGGUAAUGUAAGUCUGGAGUGAAAGGCGGGGGCCCAACCCCCGGACUGCUCUGGAAAAUAUGU